rnacentral:lncRNA from 1 species
AAAGGAGAUGCGUGUACGAUUAUUCACAGAAGCAUUGUUUAGCAUCAUUUAUGAGAGUGAAGAAGUCGAAGCAACUUAAAUAUCUAUCAGCAAAAAUAAUGGAAAACAGAAUUUAGUGUGGAUGUACGAGAGGCUGUCACAGAGGAGCGCUGUGUGUGCACAUUCACUCACUGGGCAACACGAAUGGACCGGGUCCCUGAGCGGAAGCCCAGCUGGGACCCCCGGGGCCAGAGGUGGCCCCGGAAGCAGGUCAUCAGAAGGGGCCCCUGGACUGACUCCCAUAUGGUCGAUCGCUGGGAUGCACACGGGGAAGCAGGAGGCUCUGCGGCAUCCAGACAGCACGUGAUGACGACUUCAACUGGGGAGGCGGCUGUGGAGACAGAAUAAUUUACUAGACAAGCAGAGACGGCUUUUGGGGCGAGAAGUGGCAGAAACUGAUGGUGGAGCAGAGGUGAGGCAGAUUCCUGGAGGUAGAGACCGGGUCUGGAGAACAGAGCACAGUUUUAAUCACACAGCAGAUUCUUAAACCAAAGGAAGACUUGAGGAUAGAAUUAUUGUGCCGUGACUCUCUCGUGCGUCAUUCAUGAAUCUUAAUACUCUUCACCUCCUCCAUUGCCUCUGGACUGAAUGAAUCAUCACAGGAAAACCAGCAGACGUACCUUUGAAAGGAGAGAAGGACGCAGAGUAGGAGGCCACUGAAAAGUCAGCAUGUGAACCGAGAAAUGAGAGAAGAUGGUUUGCAGCCCCCUAAGCAGAGUGGACCUGCCCAGCGCCGGCAAGGUGGCCCAGUAGGCGGCCGGACAUCCCCUGUGCAGCCACCACUUCAGUUAGACCCUCGAACCUGGCAGGGGGAAGAUACCAAGCUCAGCGCUCACAUCUCAUUUGAAUGCUUAUUUUUUAACCAAGUGAACCUAUUUCUUCCAUUUUCCCAUCAACUGGUCUAACAAGAGAGGAAAAUGAGAAGGACUUGCACAAUUUAAAGCAAAAGUACACACGGACAUCUGGCCUGGACAGCACUUCCGCAGCCUUGCAGGGUCUGUGUGGACCUCAACUACCUACAAACCCUGUGGGGAACAGAAUAAUGCCCCUAAAGAUGUCGCCAUCCUAAUACCGGGAACCUGAGCCUAUACGAAGGAUCUGGAGGUGGCGCGAUUAUCCGGGAUGGUCGGGACGGGCCCAGUGUGAGCACAAGGGUCCUUGCGGGAGGUCAGAAGGAGGG